UUAUGGUGAUGGAAGACAGCCACCAGGAAACCCUGCCGAAAGAAUGGGUCAGAUCAAUAAUCUGAGUGGUCCCAGUUCUCCUCCAAUGGCUGAUGGAUGAGAAAGGAAGUCACUCUAAAAACUCAGGUUUACACAACAUCUACUUGUACAAUCAAGCACACACUCUCAGGCUGCAUGAAGCACUGUCGCAGACAGGACUGCAAACCCUCUCAGGGCCCUGGGGUUCCCCUAAACCAGACCGUGAGCCUCUUGAGACGGCGGAUACCCAGCAGUGCCCAGAACCUGGGAAGGAGCUCAUCGUUCUC